rnacentral:rRNA from 1 species
CGGCACCUAUCUUCGGAUAGAAGCGAGUGGCGAACGGCUGAGUAACACGUGGAGGACCUGCCCCCUCCCCCGGGAUAGCCGCCCGAAAGGACGGGUAAUACCGGAUACCCCGGGGUGCCGCAUGGCACCCCGGCUAAAGCCCCGACGGGAGGGGAUGGCUCCGCGGCCCAUCAGGUAGACGGCGGGGUGACGGCCCACCGUGCCGACAACGGGUAGCCGGGUUGAGAGACCGACCGGCCAGAUUGGGACUGAGACACGGCCCAG